UGGGGAAUAUUGGACAAUGGGCGCAAGCCUGAUCCAGCAAUGCCGCGUGAGUGAUGAAGGGCCUUAGGGUUGUAAAGCNCUUUCGCACGCGACGAUGAUGACGGUAGCGUGAGAAGAAGCCCCGGCUAACUUCGUGCCAGCAGCCGCGGUAAUACGAAGGGGGCUAGCGUUGUUCGGAAUUACUGGGCGUAAAGGGCGCGUAGGCGGCCUGUUCAGUCAGAAGUGAAAGCCCCGGGCUCAACCUGGGAAUAGCUUUUGAUACUGGCAGGCUUGAGUUCCGGAGAGGAUGGUGGAAUUCCCAGUGUAGAGGUGAAAUUCGUAGAUAUUGGGAGAACACCGGUGGCGAAGGCGGCCAUCUGGACGGACACUGACGCUGAGGCGCGAAAGCGUGGGG
rnacentral:rRNA from 1 species